rnacentral:tRNA from 1 species
CCAGCCGUAGCUCAGCUGGAUAGAGUACUCGGCUACGAACCGAGCGGUCGGAGGUUCGAAUCCUCCCGGAUGCACCA